rnacentral:rRNA from 1 species
UAGCAUAUCAAUAAGCGGAGGAAAAGAAACCAACAGGGAUUGCCCUAGUAACGGCGAGUGAAGCGGCAACAGCUCAAAUUUGAAAUCUGGCUUCGGCCCGAGUUGUAAUUUGUAGAGGAAGCUUUUGGUGCGGCACCUACUGAGUCCCCUGGAACGGGGCGCCAUAGAGGGUGAGAGCCCCGUAUAGUAGGACGCCUAGCCUGUGUAAAGCUCCUUCGACGAGUCGAGUAGUUUGGGAAUGCUGCUCUAAAUGGGAGGUAAAUUUCUUCUAAAGCUAAAUAUUGGCCAGAGACCGAUAGCGCACAAGUAGAGUGAUCGAAAGAUGAAAAGCACUUUGAAAAGAGGGUUAAACAGCACGUGAAAUUGUUGAAAGGGAAGCGCUUGUGACCAGACUUGCGCCGGGCGGAUCAUCCGGUGUUCUCACCGGUGCACUCCGCCCGGCUCAGGCCAGCAUCGGUUCUCGUGGGGGGAUAAAGGCCCUGGGAACGUGGCUCCUUCGGGAGUGUUAUAGCCCAGGGUGCAAUGCCCUCGUGGGGACCGAGGUUCGCGCAUCUGCAAGGAUGCUGGCGUAAUGGUCAUCAGCGACCCGUCUUGAAACACGGACCAAGGAGUCAAGGUUUUGCGCGAGUGUUUGGGUGUAAAACCCGCACGCGUAAUGAAAGUGAACGUAGGUGAGAGCUUCGGCGCAUCAUCGACCGAUCCUGAUGUAUUCGGAUGGAUUUGAGUAGGAGCGUUAAGCCUUGGACCCGAAAGAUGGUGAACUAUGCUUGGAUAGGGUGAAGCCAGAGGAAACUCUGGUGGAGGCUCGCAGCGGUUCUGACGUGCAAAUCGAUCGUCAAAUCUGAGCAUGGGGGCGAAAGACUAAUCGAACCAUCUAGUAGCUGGUUACCGCCGAAGUUUCCCUCAGGAUAGCAGUGUUGUUCUUCAGUUUUAUGAGGUAAAGCGAAUGAUUAGGGACUCGGGGGCGCUAUAUAGCCUUCAUCCAUUCUCAAACUUUAAAUAUGUAAGAAGCCCUUGUUACUUAAUUGAACGUGGGCAUUCGAAUGUACCAACACUAGUGGGCCAUUUUUGGUAAGCAGAACUGGCG